rnacentral:rRNA from 1 species
UCAUGAAGCUGGAAUUGCUAGUAAUGGCAGGUCAGCAUACUGCCGUGAAUACGUUCCCGGGCCUUGUACACACCGCCCGUCACACCAUGAGAGUUGGGAAUACCCGAAGCCUGUGAGCUAACUUAUAGAGGCAGCAGUCGAAGGUAGAAUCAAUGAUUGGGGUGAAGUCGUAACAAGGUACC